GGACCGGGCAUCAGCUUCCGGGCUGUCGAAUGGGCCGUUGGCCGGUUCACGAGCUUCGAACGCGGCUGCUGCGCGGGACACGUCGGCAC
rnacentral:lncRNA from 1 species